rnacentral:rRNA from 1 species
GAACGGCAGCAUAGGAGCUUGCUCCUGAUGGCGAGUGGCGAACGGGUGAGUAAUAUAUCGGAACGUGCCCUAGAGUGGGGGAUAACUAGUCGAAAGACUAGCUAAUACCGCAUACGAUCUACGGAUGAAAGUGGGGGAUCGCAAGACCUCAUGCUCCUGGAGCGGCCGAUAUCUGAUUAGCUAGUUGGUGGGGUAAAAGCCUACCAAGGCAACGAUCAGUAGCUGGUCUGAGAGGACGACCAGCCACACUGGGACUGAGACACGGCCCAGACUCCUACGGGAGGCAGCAGUGGGGAAUUUUGGACAAUGGGGGCAACCCUGAUCCAGCAAUGCCGCGUGAGUGAAGAAGGCCUUCGGGUUGUAAAGCUCUUUUGUCAGGGAAGAAACGGUAGUAGCGAAUAACUAUUACUAAUGACGGUACCUGAAGAAUAAGCACCGGCUAACUACGUGCCAGCAGCCGCGGUAAUACGUAGGGUGCAAGCGUUAAUCGGAAUUACUGGGCGUAAAGCGUGCGCAGGCGGUUGUGUAAGUCAGAUGUGAAAUCCCCGGGCUCAACCUGGGAAUUGCAUUUGAGACUGCACGGCUAGAGUGUGU